CAAAGACUAUACAUGGACUGACCCUGGACUCUGACCUCAUAGGAGACAACUCCAGCAAACUACCUGAUCUUCUGGCUCCUACAGGCUUUCUAGCACUUCUUCUGCACAAGCCUUCACCUCUACAUAAAGCAGUAUAGAAAUGAGGAAACCCAGGUGCAUAGGUGGUCUAACACUUGCGAACUUGGCAAUUUCGUUUGGUCUUCCAGUGUCAAAAGAAUGAAUGGCUUCAGAAGACCUUUGUACACUCACUUGAAUAUCUACCACCCCUUCUAAAUACUGGCAUGUAACUUUGACUGAUUCUACAUGACCAUUGUGGAAAAAUGAGAGUAUACAAUCUGAGAAAGCCUAAGGAAAUGUGGCUUUAUAUUCUUAGCUUCAGGGAAGACAUAAAACAUGAACCUCCCAUAUACCUGCGCUGGCUGGUAUGGUUGUAUUUAA
rnacentral:sRNA from 1 species